GAUGAACGCUGGCGGCGUGCUUAACACAUGCAAGUCGAACGAUGAACCUCACUUGUGGGGGGAUUAGUGGCGAACGGGUGAGUAACACGUGAGUAACCUGCCCUUGACUCUGGGAUAAGCCUGGGAAACCGGGUCUAAUACUGGAUACGACCUUCUGGCGCAUGCCAUGUUGGUGGAAGGCUUUUGUGGUUUUGGAUGGACUCGCGGCCUAUCAGCUUGUUGGUGGGGUAAUGGCCUACCAAGGCGACGACGGGUAGCCGGCCUGAGAGGGUGACCGGCCACACUGGGACUGAGACACGGCCCAGACUCCUACGGGAGGCAGCAGUGGGGAAUAUUGCACAAUGGGCGCAAGCCUGAUGCAGCGACGCCGCGUGAGGGAUGAAGGCCUUCGGGUUGUAAACCUCUUUCAGUAGGGAAGAAGCCGGCUUUUGGGUUGGUGACGGUACCUGCAGAAGAAGCGCCGGCUAACUACGUG
rnacentral:rRNA from 1 species